rnacentral:misc_RNA from 1 species
AAAAAAAAGACUCUUUGAAUUCCUCAUGAAUUAGAAGUCCAAAGGAAUUGGACAACAGGAAUGCUGAAAUUUGAUAAAUUCUCAAUAAUUUAAAAUUCUUGAAGUGGAAGAUGGAUGAAAGAAAAUUUAAUAAUUUUAAAGUUAUAGGCAAUCAUGCAUACAAUGGAAAAAGUGUAGAUAAUAUAGCUCCUUUAUACUAAGGGCAGUAUUUAACCACAGGACCAGAGCCCACAUUCACAGAUCAUGCAACGGGAAAAUAUUAAUAUUUAUGAUAUGCUCUAGACUACCAAACUUAAUUUCAGUCCUAGAAUUUCUAUUCUCGAAACCCAAUUAUUUUUUAACCUUCUGAACCUAUAGAUACCCAUCCAAUCACUCUUUCUUCCAAGACAGCUGUGUCUUUUGGUCAUUUACAUUAUCUUGAACCAAGGAUCCAAAGUAUUUUUCAUUUCCUUAUAUUCAUUUGUUCAAUUGGUCUGAAGUGUUGUUAAUGCUUCAAUAAACAUAAACCAUGUUAUUUUUAAGUUUCAAAACCAAAACCUAUCCUUUCUUCACUCCAAUGUCCUGGCACCUCCAAAACAGUCACGCAUGUAAAAUACAAUUAGACCUUCAGUUUAGCUAGGAUAUUAACAACUUUCAAAGCUUAAUGACAAUACAAUCUAACCCAAAGAACCAAUAGCAGAAAUAGAAACAGAGCAACA